GUCCAGGGAUGGGGAAUCGAAUCCACAGUGUUCCGCUUACCGGGCAGAUGCCAUGUCCACUAGGCUACCCUGGA
rnacentral:tRNA from 1 species